rnacentral:rRNA from 1 species
UACAGAGGGUGCAAGCGUUGUUCGGAAUUAUUGGGCGUAAAGCGCGUGUAGGCGGCUUUGCAAGUCGGGUGUGAAAGCCCUCAGCUCAACUGAGGAAGUGCGCCCGAAACUGCAGAGCUUGAGUGCCGGAGAGGGUGGCGGAAUUCCCCAAGUAGAGGUGAAAUUCGUAGAUAUGGGGAGGAACACCGGUGGCGAAGGUGGCUACCUGGACCGGUUCUGACGCUGAGGCGCGAAAGCGUGGGUAGCAAACAGG